CUGAUCCAACGUAUUAUUUUCAUAAUUACUUAAUAUAACAAAAUUACUGAUAUCUGAAUAUAUAAACCGGGUAUUUUCAUGCCUUGACACUUACAAGCGAGCUGAGAUUCUCAGCAAUUAAAUUUUUUUCUCACAUGAUUACCAAUUAUUCCUUUCAAAAUGAUAUUUAAGUUGAUGUUUCUUAUUUUAUUAAUCGUAGUCAUGUUAAUCGUCGCAAAUGUCGAAGCUAUAGUCGGCGGCAAUGCGGCGGUACUAAGUCAAUAUCCAUAUCAGAUCUCCCUAAGACAAAACACCGGUUUCUUACGUUGGGCUCAUAAGUCUGCGUCGUCGAUUGAUUUCAGAUAAACUUUAGAGGAAUAAUUGUCGUAUAGAAAUUCUUUGGAAAGCUAUGAAACUUUACAGGCAUUGGCAAAGCAUAAUUAUUUAUCGAAGUGUAGAUCUGUUUUUUCAAUAAUUAAAGAAAAAAUUAUAGAAAUCUAUCAACAUAAAUUUAAAAAUACACCAUCACCCCCAUGAAAAUAAUAUAUAUUUAAAAUAUAAGAAAAAUAUAUUUAUGAAUAUCUUAAAAAUGUAUUUAAAAUAGAUUGAGACAAAUCGCCUGUUCUCUGGGCGAUUCUAACCAGCAGCCACCAGGAUUCGCGGGUUGAACCCUGGCUUAGGCUGGCCUCUACAAAAUGUUUUAAUUAUAGGACAGAGCAAUGGGCUAGGGUUCUUGCAAAGUAAGAACCCGCACUUGUCCAAACUCGGCUACGUAUAAAAAAGCUUAUCAACCUACCUCACGGCUUAUUAUAAAAUUUUAAAUUAUACUUAUCAAUAGUUGAGUUACUACUUGUAGCUCGAUUUAUAUUUAUUAAUGCAAAUUAUUCGGUAGUCUUACCAGUAUGUUAGGAUAAGGAUAGGACGAAAGGCAAGUAAAGUUUCCGAAAA